AAGGCACUAGUAAAACUAUUACCCCGCCUUGUCAAGACGGAAUCGUGGGUUAAACCCCCGCGUGCCUUA
rnacentral:tRNA from 1 species